CAAAACUACAGCUGCACAACAUCAGAACGAGCCAGAUGAGAGCCCUGUGAGAGGUGAACAUGAUGAGAGUUGUCAUGAGGACGUCUGCAGUCUUUACUAUUCUCAUCACAGGAGCCCUGGGACAGAACUCGGUACAUCAGGACCCGUAUAUUACUGUGGCAGAGGGAGAAGAUGUGCAAAUAAACUGCAGCUACACUGGCACAGAGUACAGUCUGCGGUGGUACCAGAGUGUCAGCACCCACAAAAUCCAGCCAAUUUUUCUCUUAAGCGCUAAUGGCUAUAAAUUCGAAGAUCAGUUCAUGAUGUUUCUGGAUACCAAGAAGAAGUUCACCUAUCUCUAUAUAAACACAACACACGUGGAAGACUCGGCAGUGUACUACUGUGCGAUGGAGGCACAGUGA